rnacentral:tRNA from 1 species
GGUGGCUCAGUGGUAGAGUGCUUGCCUUGCAUGCAUGAGACCCUGGGUUCGGUUCCUCAGCACCA